AUUUCCUUCAUAAAACGCAGCAGAGGCAGCAGCGCUCCAGGGAAGGAAAAGAAGGGAAAACAUCCCGUAAGGGUUACGGUGAGUUCCCGCUCCCGUAACUUCUCCGUCCGAGCUCCGAUCGCCGCACCGUUUGCGGCCACGCGUUCACUGCGUCGAGCUCUACAUUUCUACCGGAACAAUUUCUUUGGAUCCAAUUAGCUUGAGAGAAACGUUCACUCUUGCUUAUGUGAAGCUUGGGUAAGGUUGAGAAUAAAUAAUUGGAGCUUGAAAUUGUGAAUACUGGAACUUGGAGGAAGCGGAUUAGUUGAGUUUUGAGGGGUUGUCUUGGUUUUGAAUAAAUAGCUUUGGUCGUUACGUGGAAAUCGGCUAAGAUGCAGGUCGAGAGGCAUCUCGUUAGGCGUCUGGACUCUUGAAGCGAAGUGGUUACUGGGAUAUUUUGUUAUGCUAUGAUGUAUAUAUAUGUACUUAGAUUUCUCUCCGCAUGACUUAU